AUGUAUUUUAUGUGAGAGUAGAGUUGUUGUGCCAUGAGUUUUUAUGGUAAUAGAGCAAUCUUUUAGGGACGACCUAAUAUGGCACAUGAGGCAAACAAAUAGGGACAUUGGGAGUACAUACGAAGUACAAGUAUUAAAUCUAUUUGGACUGGUGAAAGUCAAAACAGCCAUCUUGUUUUGGAUACAUACAGAUAUGCAAUCAAAUUAUUUACAAGUUUUGAUACUAUACUCAAAUUGGCAGCUGGUUUGAAUAUUGUAAACUUUGUAAUUGGCUCGGAAUUAGAUUCGGGGUUGUGGAGCUAUGUGUUGGAAUCUGACCUCUAGCAUAAAUUUCAUUACUAUAUUUUUCUUUUCAUAGUAGUUCAAGUUGACAAGAACCAAGUGAAAACAAAUUAACAUACAAGUCCUAUACAAAUGAAUAAGCAGCAGCAGAGCAGAUUUUUUAAAAUUUGGCUUGCCACUUUACAAAGCAGCUCUGGAAGGCAACUGGCCUGCUGCGGAACACAUUCUGCAGCAAUCUCUGGAUUGGAUCCGACACCCAAUAGCGAAAGGAGGAGAAAGGGUUCUUCAUAUUGCAGCAACAGCAAAGUGCACCCAUUUUGUAAAAGAGCUGGUGAAGCUCAUGAUCAAAGGUAUUGUUAGAAUAUGCCUUGAAUCGGUCCACCAUCGCUACGGCCUUUGGAUUUUGGUUUAACAGAAGUAAGAAAGGGAACGAAACCGGAGAAGCUGCGAGCUCUUGAUUCGUCUUCGUGCAAGGUUUGGUCAUUAGUGAGGAGAUUCGAUCAACCUCAGAAGUAUAAGCCAUUUGUUAGCCGAUGUGUGGUGCAGGGAAAUCUUGAGAUUGGAAGUGUAAGAGAGGUUGAUGUGAAAUUCGGGCUUCCAGCGACUACGAGCACUGAGAGGUUGGAGGUUCAGGAUGACAAUGAGCAUAUUCUCAAUAUCUAGAUUAUUGGUGGAGAUCAUAGGCUAAGGGUAUGGUGCUUCCUGUCUAUGAGUUAUAUUGCUUUUAUAGGUAUUUUUGUGUCUGCCUGUUUUCGGGGAGGAGGAAGGGUAGGGAGUGGGUGACAGUG